ACGUAGGGUGCGAGCGUUAAUCGGAAUUACUGGGCGUAAAGCGUGCGCAGGCGGUUCACUAAGACAGGUGUGAAAUCCCCGGGCUUAACCUGGGAAUUGCGUUUGUGACUGGCGAACUAGAGUACGGUAGAGGGGGGUGGAAUUUCAGGUGUAGCGGUGAAAUGCGUAGAGAUGUGGAGGAACACCGAUGGCGAAGGCAGCCCCCUGGACCGAUACUGACGCUCA
rnacentral:rRNA from 1 species